rnacentral:lncRNA from 1 species
UGCGACUGCCUACUGCUCAACUCUUUUUAGUCAAGUUUCAUCCAUAGUUAGUUAAUUCACCGAAUUAUUCGCGAAUUUUUGAAAUGCCGAAUUAAACACCCGUUUUCGAAUUUUUGCCAAAAAAUUCGAAUAAUUCGCGGUUUUUUGAGCAAAAAUAAUUAUUCGCGAAGAAAAGGAAUUCGCGAAUAAUUCGGCCCAAAAACGGCCCUCUUGCUUGCGACUGUGAGCGGACUUGUGGGCCUCGCAGUGCCCAAAACCAUCGCCCCCUCCCGAGGCGACGACUCCCACGCUCCCACCCCCACCCCUCCCAAAAAAAGGGUUUGCCCUAACUUCUCACUCCUGCGGCGGUGCGGCCCUGCCAUCGACCCCUGCGGCGGUCUCCCUCUUCCCUUCCGGCCGCUCGCCGAACGCCAUCGGAAGGCCUCCUCUUCAGAAAUCGAAGAUCGAAGAUCGGGUUCUUCACUCUUCAGAAAUCGAAACCCUCCUCGUCGCCUCUUCCUCUUCCGCUUCCGCUUCCGCUUCCUCUCCCGCUUCCGCUAUCCAACGAUAGAUCAGUAACCGGGUGGUUCUUUACAAACCCAGGUA